CUGUACACACGGAUAACAUACCGAAAGGUAUACUAAUACGGGAUAACAUACGAAAGUCGCAUGGCUUUUGUAUCAAAGCUCCGGCGGUACAGGAUGGACCCGCGUCUGAUUAGCUAGUUGGUAAGGUAAUGGCUUACCAAGGCAACGAUCAGUAGCCGACCUGAGAGGGUGAUCGGCCACACUGGAACUGAGACACGGUCCAGACUCCUACGGGAGGCAGCAGUGGGGAAUAUUGCACAAUGGGCGAAAGCCUGAUGCAGCAACGCCGCGUGAGCGAUGAAGGCCUUCGGGUCGUAAAGCUCUGUCCUCAAGGAAGAUAAUGACGGUACUUGAGGAGGAAGCCCCGGCUAACUACGUGCCAGCAGCCGCGGUAAUACGUAGGGGGCUAGCGUUAUCCGGAAUUACUGGGCGUAAAGGGUGCGUAGGUGGUUUUUUAAGUCANAAGUGAAAGGCUACGGCUCAACCGUAGUAAGCUUUUGAAACUAGAGAACUUGAGUGCAGGAGAGGAGAGUAGAAUUCCUAGUGUAGCGGUGAAAUGCGUAGAUACUAGGA
rnacentral:rRNA from 1 species